rnacentral:rRNA from 1 species
GAUGAACGCUGGCGGCGUGCCUAAUACAUGCAAGUCGAGCGAACAGACGAGGAGCUUGCUCCUUUGACGUUAGCGGCGGACGGGUGAGUAACACGUGGAUAACCUACCUAUAAGACUGGGAUAACUUCGGGAAACCGGAGCUAAUACCGGAUAACAUGUUGAACCGCAUGGUUCAACAGUGAAAGACGGUCUUGCUGUCACUUAUAGAUGGAUCCGCGCCGCAUUAGCUAGUUGGUAAGGUAACGGCUUACCAAGGCAACGAUGCGUAGCCGACCUGAGAGGGUGAUCGGCCACACUGGAACUGAGACACGGUCCAGACUCCUACGGGAGGCAGCAGUAGGGAAUCUUCCGCAAUGGGCGAAAGCCUGACGGAGCAACGCCGCGUGAGUGAAGAAGGUCUUCGGAUCGUAAAACUCUGUUAUUAGGGAAGAACAAAUGUGUAAGUAACUAUGCACGUCUUGACGGUACCUAAUCAGAAAGCCACGGCUAACUACGGG